rnacentral:lncRNA from 1 species
UCAAACAUUUAGCACAAAACCAAGCAUCUAAGCACACUUUAAACUAAACACACUCGAGUGACGACUAACGAUUACAAAAAUUUAAGCUAAACACUCCUAACUCCUAAAGAUCUUCUGCGUCGGCGCCGGGCGAGUUGUAGCGGGGACACUUGGGUGACGGCGACGAAGCGGGAAAGUCGGCAUCCUCUUGCGGCGGCGGUGCCCCUAUCGCAGAAGCCACUAGUACAUCUCUCUCCCACCUAAC